rnacentral:rRNA from 1 species
CGUGUAGGCGGCUUUUUAAGUGUGGAGUGAAAGUCCACUUUUCAAGGGUGGAAUUGCUUUGCAGACUGGAGAGCUUGAGUGCGGAAGAGGUAAGUGGAAUUCCCAGUGUAGCGGUGAAAUGCGUAGAGAUUGGGAGGAACACCAGUGGCGAAGGCGACUUACUGGGCCGUAACUGACGCUGAGGCGCGAAAGCGUGGGGAGCGAACA